CACCAUCGCUGAUAUGAUGGUGGGAAGCAGCCAUCUUGCCACGUCAUACCCUCUACAGCUCCUGUGGUUAAAUGGGCCGUUAUGUUCUGUGUCUGAAGGACUCCCUCAGAGUGACUGGAGAAACUGAGUCUUGUGGGAACUGAGCUGACCCAGGCCAGCAAUAUAGAUCGUCAGUCUCCUUGGCUGGGGCAAUGAGAGAAGGGUCGGAUUCUGUUCUCACUUCCUCUCUAGUCCUGGCCUCCGCUUCUGAGUCAGAGGAGCCCUGAAAUGGCCUAAAAUAGCCUCGUGGCUGGCAGCGUGCAGCUUUAGCGAUCCACGCCACGGCUUGCAUAUUGAUUUCGAUUUUUUUGGUUCUUAUCAAGAUAUAUUCCUCAUCCCUUCAGAGCUGAAGACAGAGAGAAUCACUGCCUUAAACCUGCGGUCGCCUUGGAUUUUUGGAAGUACAAAACCUGGAAGGUCAGGCCACGCCCAGAUGACAGUGAUCACCCGUGCGGGCCAAGCUGCACUCUGAAGCAGAAGUGACCAUCUCCUAGGAACCAGAUUGACCCAGGGUAGCAUCCUCAGGCCACCACACUGGACCCAAGCUGAGGUGAGGAUCAAGGAGACAGCAUCUGGACCAGGACUGCUUCAUGAUGCCAACAUAUUGCUCCUUGCCCCAACUUAAAUCUAAAGCUAACAUAGGCAUCCUGAUCUUCUGAAAUCUUGGGGGUCACUGGGCCCCUUUAUCCAUUCCCUUUCUCUAUGUGGGCACUUUGAAUAAAUCUCUCUCUCUGGGUUUUACUACUAAGCCCCCAACCCCAGUGUAUGUGCAUGUGCGUGUGCGUGUGCGUGUGCGUGUGCGUGUGCGUGUGUGUGUGUGUGUGUGUGUCUAUGCGCAG
rnacentral:lncRNA from 1 species